rnacentral:rRNA from 1 species
AGUUCGGAUUGUAGUCUGCAACUCGACUACAUGAAGCUGGAAUCGCUAGUAAUCGCGAAUCAGAAUGUCGCGGUGAAUACGUUCCCGGGCCUUGUACACACCGCCCGUCACACCAUGGGAGCCGGUAAUACCCGAAGUCAGUAGUCCAACCACGUGAGGACGCUGCCGAAGGUAGGAUUGGCGACUGGGGUGAAGUCGUAACAAGGUAGC